rnacentral:rRNA from 1 species
GACGAACGCUGGCGGCGUGCUUAACACAUGCAAGUCGAACGGUAAGGCCCUUCGGGGUACACGAGUGGCGAACGGGUGAGCAACACGUGGGUGAUCUGCCCUGCACUUCGGGAUAAGCCUGGGAAACUGGGUCUAAUACCGGAUAGGACCACUGCCUGCAUGGGUGGUGGUGGACAGCUUUUGCGGUGUGGGAUGGGCCCGCGGCCUGUCAGCUUGUUGGUGGGGUGAUGGCCUACCAAGGCGACGACGGGUAGCCGGCGGGAGAGGGGGGCCGGCCAGACUGGGACUGGAAGACGGCCCAGACUCCUACGGGCGGCAGCAGGCGGGAAUAUUGCACAAUGGGGGCAAGCCUGAUGCAGCGACGCCGCGUGAGGGAUGCCGGCCCUCGGGUUGUAAACCUCUUUCCGCACCGACGAAGCGCAAGUGACGGUAGGUGCAGAAGAAGGACCGGCCAACUACGUGCCAGCCGCCGCCGUAA